ensembl:lncRNA
GCUCGAGCCACCUUGAACGAGAAGCAAUGGUAACCAGGCAACUUCAUGGUGGUGGGGGGGAAUUAAGAAGAUAAGAAUAUAGAAUCCGAAUUUGAGAAUCCCGCUAAACACGUAGAAGCAGAGGAAGUGUGACGCUGUGCCACCGAUGGGAUUAAUCACUGGAUUGUUUCCCUCUUACCCUCAUAACGACGCUCUGGUGGAGCAUGGAGCUCAGCUGAGGGACAGACGCUGAUUUAAAGGCAUAAAUGGGACCCCCCAGAAGAGGAACCUUGCGCUUUUUGAAGACCAACGGUAACAAAAUGUCCACCAGGAUGUCGCUUGACUGGGUACCUGUGGAUGCGAGCGCGCGGCAGGCAGUUUCAUCAUCGGCGUGUGUGUGUGUGUGUGUGUGUGUGUGUGUGUGUGUGUGUGUGUGUGUGUGUGUGUGUGUGUGUGUGUGUGUGUGUGUGUGUGUGUGUGUGUGUGUGUGUGUGUGUGUGUGUGUGUGUGUGUGUGUGUGUGUGUGUGAGU